rnacentral:rRNA from 1 species
GAGUUUGAUCGUGGCUCAGAUUGAACGCUGGCGGCAUGCCUUACACAUGCAAGUCGAACGGCAGCACGGGAGCUUGCUCCUGGUGGCGAGUGGCGAACGGGUGAGUAAUGCAUCGGAACGUAUCCUGGAGUGGGGGAUAACGUAGCGAAAGUUACGCUAAUACCGCAUAUUCUGUGAGCAGGAAAGCGGGGGACCUUCGGGCCUCGCGCUCUUGGAGCGGCCGAUGUCGGAUUAGCUAGUUGGUGAGGUAAAGGCUCACCAAGGCGACGAUCCGUAGCAGGUCUGAGAGGAUGAUCUGCCACACUGGAACUGAGACACGGUCCAGACUCCUACGGGAGGCAGCAGUGGGGAAUUUUGGACAAUGGGGGCAACCCUGAUCCAGCCA